UUAACUUGGACACAUGGGAGGCUUGAGCUAAGCGCCAGUCCCAGGCAUGUCAGUGAGUCAGGGUUUAUUUAAGGAUUCAGUUAACUGCUCUCAACCCCUGGUAUCAACCACGGGACAAACAAGUUUCUUGCUGCUUUUUACAUGUAGAGCUGUAAAAGGUAUGAUUCGGUUUUUACUGUCCAGUAUAAUGUUUCACUUUCCUAAACUUGAUACUGUUGGAUGUUAAUACAAGGAAAGAAAAGUUGGAUGGAUAGAACUCAGAAUAUAAGGAUCUUAGUUUGCUUCAUUUUACUCAGCUGCAAAUCAGAAAACUCCCAAGUGCCAGAAAUUUGGAGGUUAGGGCUUUGUACCAAAGUUCUAUUGAAGGCAGCUAGCAGCCAUAACAAAAGCCAUUCUUUUGAAAAACUAAAGCUCUGACACAUUCUUUACCAGGUGCAGUGGAAGAGUCCUGGUGGUCAUAAGGUCUUGGUGCUUAAAAGAAUUGAAGAUCCUGAAGACAAGUUAUCCAAAACAGAUUUGACUUCUUCACCCCUUUAUUGAUGGACAAGUUGAUUGCAAGGGAGUAUAAAGGAUUUUUUUUAAAUGAAUUUGCAACAUGACUGGUGGGUUUGAAUGACUGCAUUUAUCAAGUCCUAACAGAAUUUUACUGAAUGUACAUUUAUAGUUCAAUAAAUAUACUUUUAAAAACA